GGAAAUUACAAGCUCACCAUAUAAAACAUUUUGGAAAUAAAGGGAAGAUGACCGGAUGGGUAGGAUUUUAGCAGGUGAGGAUAAAAAGAGAAGUAGAUGAAGCAGUUUAAGCAAAAAGAGGCCUCAGGGAGGUAUGGUGCGUAUUCCGACUCUGGGCUAACCACCAUCCUGUUUCAUUUAAGUGGCAAGGCAGUGUGUUGGGAUUAAGAGCCCUGUCACUCAAUUGCUGUGUGUCCUCAAGCAUGGUACUGGACCUCUCUGAGACUGCCUUAAUAGAGGACACUGAAGCCAGGGCAAGGCAUUAGUACAUGGUAGGUGGCAGCAUCCAUUGAAGGCUUUGCAUAGGGAAGAGCCUUGAUUGGAACUUGGCAACUAAUUAGACACCAGAGUCAAAAAGGAGUGUUAAGGCAGGGUCAUUGUGUGGCUGGAGGGACCAGCACUGGGUUCGUGGGUGAAGAGGAAGAGUUUAAUGUUUGAUGAGUUUGUGUUGCUUACAGGACAUCUGAAGAAAACCCCCAGCAAGCAGAUGGGGCUGGGCCUGAAGUUCGAGUGGAAGGUAGGAAGAGAUGAUGGAAAUGUGGGGCCACUGGAGCCCAGCAGGACAGUUAGGAGAAUGUCCAAGGAGAAAGGGGGAAGGACGGGGCUGAGGAAGGCCCCUUAUAUUUAGAGGCUGGGGUUGGGAGUCAGAGGAUGGAAACAGCACCUUCAGAGGGGUCUUGUCCCCAGGGAGGGCCUCAGUGCAGACAGUGUCAAGCCCUAAGGAUCAUCCAGCAACCCCAUCACCCCCAACUCACUUCACAGAGAGAGGCACAUCAGGUGUGCUCAGCAUCACAGAGCAGGAAGAGGCAGGGCAGGACCAGAACCCAGAACUCAGCACUCUGCUCUUCUCACACCCAUAUAUUCAGAGCCCUUGAGGUAGCUGAGGAAUCAGCGGGGAGCUGUCUGCCAUCACUGCAGAAGCUCUCGGCAUGACUGGAACACAAGGCCCAACAGCUCCUCCGCCCCAGUUUAACUUUUCCUCACUUGCCGAGUAUCGUGAAUCGGCCCAAGCCAACCAUUGCCUGUUAUUGUUGUUCUGUUUUUUCCCUUUGUUUUGUAGUCUCUUGC
rnacentral:lncRNA from 1 species